UCGAGAAUCUUCGGCAAUGGGCGCAAGCCUGACCGAGCGACGCCGCGUGGAGGACGACGGCCUUCGGGUUGUAAACUCCUGUCGAGGGGGAGGAAGGGGGCGUGCAGAGCGCCCCUUGACCGAUCCCUGGAGGAAGCACGGGCUAAGUUCGUGCCAGCAGCCGCGGUAAGACGAACCGUGCGAACGUUAUUCGGAAUCACUGGGCUUAAAGCGCGUGUAGGCGGAGUCCCACGUCGGUCGCUGAAAGCCCCCGGCUCAACCGGGGAACGGGCGCCGAAACGAGGGCUCUCGAGGGGGGUAGGGGGCGCCGGAACUUCCGGUGGAGCGGUGAAAUGCGUUGAGAUCGGAAGGAACGCCCGUGGCGAAAGCGGGCGCCUGGGCCCCGCCUGACGCUGAGACGCGAAAGCCAGGGGAGCGAACGG
rnacentral:rRNA from 1 species